rnacentral:pre_miRNA from 1 species
GUGUGUGUAUACAUAUACGCACACAUGUGUAUAUACAUAUACACACACAUGUGUGUGUAUAUAUAUAUACAUAUG